CAUAGGGAAUAUGGAUGCGUUGUGUCUCCAUACAUAGGCGUCAUCCUUGACUCUCUUUGAAACCUUAUUUCCGCUGCUAUAUAUAUAUUUUUGAACUAAAAUAUUAUUCUUUUAAGCUAAUUGAAACUUUCUUAUGAACUGAAAUCCUUAAGUGCUAUUCUUAAUGUUUGUCCUUAGUCACGAUCGCCUCGUUUGUAACACCCCUAGCAAGUGCGGUCGUGACAACGUAGGAAAAACAUUCAUGCAUAUAAACAAAAAUUUCUUGAACAAACCUCCUUAAGCUAAGAGCCAAGAACCAUGAUCUUAUAUUUAAAUUUUUUUAAGCAAUCAAGAUCUAUGAAUUUUUGAUAACCAUGGAAAUAAUGUUGAGCUCGAGAUAGUAGAACUUAGCUUUUAGUGAACUUAGGAGAACACCGGGCUGCCCGAACGGUGCCGCUGCUGCUGUCUGCGGCAGCCACCCACACCUUGCUGCCCUCUCGGCAGCCAUACACGCACACACGCUGCUGCUACUGCUGUCACAAGGUGGCAGUCUUUCACGCCAAACCCCUGUCGCCACUGCCCCUCGAUGCACCAGCUGCCAGCGAAGCUCCGGCGGCUGCAACAUCGCAUCCGGAACGACCCUGCUGCCCCAACCCCACCCUUUUGCAUCUUAUAGAACAAUUAGAUAGCACAAGAACUUAGCACUUCCCAUAGAAUUCUCACAACAAGUAUGGAAAUGAGACAGUAGUAAGACAUGUACAAGAAUGGAGACUCUCUACAGUAAGCAAAAAGCUCCCAAAUGCAUAUGUAAAAUCAUAACAGUAAUUGCCAAGGAUCAUUUCCAGUGAUCUAAUCUCUCCUCCAAAAAUCACAACUUUAGGACACUAAGAUCAAAUCCUUAGUUACACAUUUCACCAAGACUUAACCAAGAAUCCACAAUCAAAUAACGCUAAGUAAAAGGGGGAGGAAGACUUAGCUCUAGGGGAAGAAACUGCCGACGGAGUGGCGAAGGAAGACACGGCUCGACGGGGACCGAAGGCGGAGCAGCAGCGCGACUACACCGAGGAUCGACGGAGCUAGCGCUGGACGGUGGGAGUACGAGCAGCAGCGUGACCUACUGACAGCUGUGAGGUGGGCGGCGUGCAGUCGGCGGAGCGAGCGUCGUUCGCCGGCGACGCAAUGACCGGCCGAGCCCCGGUGAACGAAGAAGAACGAGAGAGAGUGAGAGAUCGGUGAGAGAGAAAGAGGGGAGAAGAGAGGGGCGAGACAAAUCUGAUUUGGGGGAUGGUGAUUAUAGGGUUCACCUUUAAAUUUUAGGACUUGGGCUCUUGUUGGGUCAAAACUUUAAUAUUUUUGUUUGGGCUCCAUUAAAUCUUUUCUUUGGGCCGAGAAUUGAGAGGAAAUGAGAGAGUUUUAGCUCUUCAAUUUAAUUGAUGGUUUGAUGGUGGUUUCCAAAAAAAAAAAUUUAAAUCGUUUGGUUUGAUUAAAUAAUUAAUCUCACGAUUAAUUAUUUUAUUUUCAAAUCUCUAAAGUCAAUUAAUAUUUGAUCUCUUGAUGAAUUUCUCAUGGAUAAGUUAAAAUAUGGGCUUAGUGAGUUUUUAUUUUUAGUAAUUAAAGUCUCAAAAUUAUUUAGAGUGUCGCGAGCUUGAAUUGAAAACUUUCUUUUAAUCUAAACCCUGAACGUAGGAUGCAUACCUCAUGUAAGAUCAUUGCAUGCCAUCUUUUAUGAAUGUUCUUACGACUAAUUGAAUUAAUACCCUCUUUCAAGAAGGGCGUGUUCAAGGAGUUGAUUUUCGAAACCGAGCUUGAGAAGGGUAUUUUUGGAAGAAUCGAGGUUGAGCUGAUGAUGAAAUGGUGGCUGAGUGGAGUUGGUGGUUGUCUCACAUCUUUUGUAGGAUUUUCUGUGGCAUAUGUCUUCACACAUAUCGCCGUGUUUUGCAACUUCUUCCGUUGUGCCUCGUUGUAAUAAUUUGUACUAAAUAGGUCACAAGGACAAUACUUUGUUUGAGAUGACGCUCCGCAAACUCUCUUUUGGAUUGUAUAAUCCUUCAUAUUGUCUUAUGAACCUUUUCUGUCUUA